rnacentral:rRNA from 1 species
UGAGGAAUAUUGGGCAAUGCCCGAAAGGGUGACCCAGCAACGCCGCGUGGAGGAUGAAGGUCGUAAGAUUGUAAACUCCUGUUAGAGGGGAAGAAUAACUAAGUUUGGAGCUUAGUAUGACUGUACCCUUAGAGAAAGCCCCGGCUAACUACGUGCCAGCAGCCGCGGUAAUACGUAGGGGGCAAGCGUUGUCAGGAUUUACUGGGUGUAAAGGGCGCGCAGGCGGAAUGGAAAGUCAGUGGUGAAAUCCUACAGCUUAACUGUAGAACUGCCUUUGAUACUUUCAUUCUUGAGUUCGGGAGAGAGAGACGGAAUUCCAGGUGUAGUGGUGAAAUACGUAGAUAUCUGGAAGAACACCAGUUGCGAAGGCGGUCUCUUGGUCCGGUACUGACGCUGAGGCGCGAAAGCGUGGGGAGCAAACA